rnacentral:rRNA from 1 species
GUAUGGGGAUCUGCCCGAUAGAGGGGGAUAACUACUGGAAACGGUGGGUAAUACCGCAUAAUGUCUACGGACCAAAGCAGGGGCUCUUCGGACCUUGCACUAUCGGAUGAACCCAUAUGGGAUUAGCUAGUAGGUGGGGUAAAGGCUCACCUAGGCGACGAUCUCUAGCUGGUCUGAGAGGAUGAUCAGCCACACUGGGACUGAGACACGGCCCAG